rnacentral:rRNA from 1 species
UACGAAGGGGGCUAGCGUUGCUCGGAAUCACUGGGCGUAAAGCGCUCGUAGGCGGAUUGUUAAGUCAGGGGUGAAAUCCUGGAGCUCAACUCCAGAACUGCCUUUGAUACUGGCGAUCUCGAGUCCGGGAGAGGUGAGUGGAACUGCGAGUGUAGAGGUGAAAUUCGUAGAUAUUCGCAAGAACACCAGUGGCGAAGGCGGCUCACUGGCCCGGUACUGACGCUGAGGUGCGAAAGCGUGGGGAGCAAACAGG